rnacentral:rRNA from 1 species
CCUACGGGAGGCAGCAGUGGGGAAUAUUGCACAAUGGGGGAAACCCUGAUGCAGCGACGCCGCGUGAGCGAAGAAGUAUUUCGGUAGGUAAAGCUCUAUCAGCAGGGAAGAAAAUGACGGUACCUGAGUAAGAAGCUCCGGCUAAAUACGUGCCAGCAGCCGCGGUAAUACGUAUGGAGCAAGCGUUAUCCGGAUUUACUGGGGGUAAAGGGAGCGCAGGUGGCCUUGCAAGUCUGAUGUGAAAUACCGGGGCUCAACCCCGGAGCUGCAUUGGAAACUGGGAGGCUGGAGUGUCGGAGAGGCAGGCGGAAUUCCUAGGGUAGGGGUGAAAUGCGUAGAUAUUAGGAGGAACACCAGUGGCGAAGGCGGCCUGCUGGACGAUGACUGACGCUGAGGCUCGAAAGCGUGGGGAGCAAACAGGAUUAGAUACCCCGGUAGUC